AUAAACCAUUAUGAACAUUAAAAUAAGCUUUAUAAAGAUAUGGAUGGCAAUGAUAAACAUAAUCUCAGAUUUAAUUUGCUCAGUGAAAAUAAAGAUGUUUCUUAACGAUGGAUUCAAAUUCUUACUUGCACCUCCAACCAAAAUUAUUUUGCUCAUAAAUAAUCAACAAACUACAUCAUCAGAUUUAAUCUUCUUAUUGCUAGAUGCAUCAUAAUCGUUCCAGUUUCUAAUCAAUCUUCUUGUCAUAGUCAUUCCUGCACUUGCACUUACAACAGACGAAACACGUGUUCUUGGUGAUCAUACAAGCCUUGUAAUAAAAAAAUAGUAAUCAAACACGAGAAUUAACAAGAUUCACAAGUGAAAACAAAUACAAAUUUUUUUUGAGCAUAUACAUGACUUUUUCCUAUGUCAUUUCUUCUUGUAAUCAGAAGCAAAAUACCAAGUUUAGACAAACCCUAAAAACUCCAAACACUUGAACAAACAUUAUAUUAUUUUUCCAACUAUCACAGAUAAUCAUAAUCAACAAAGCUUUAAUAAUUAUAUGAUCACAGGACAUCAUUAUUUUAAUCCUCAAUGCUCAAAAAAUUAAGAAUCACAAUCAAAUUUUGGUUAUUACCCUAAGUUGAUUGCUUAGAAUUACUAGUAAUAACUUUAAAAGCAAAUCCAAACAGCCCUAAAUUGAUAAGUUUAGGGAAAAACAUGAGAGCAACAUUUUUUAGAAAAAAUCUAAAAACAUGUAUGCCAAUUUAGAAUUUUGGUUGAAAGCAAAUUUGAUGUACAAAAACCACAUAUAUACAAUAAAUAAAUGCCAUAACUUUACUUAUAAUAGAAAAACAUGUAUAGAAGAAGAAAACUACUUACAAAGAGGCCGAUGAGGAGUGGUGGUCUCAAAGAAACGCAUCUAAUUCCAAAUGUAGAAACUGCAAAAAAAAAAAUCAUCAAAAUUAAUGAUAUAGGACAGAAAUCAAGAGUUUGAAGGAUAGAAAAUAUAAGGUACUUGCAAUGAUAAGCCUUCCACCAGUAGAUGACAAGUAGAUGACAACUGCAACUCAUAUUCUGAUCUAUUACCAAAAGGGCAUUUACGUCUUUUUGCAUAGUAAUGAAGUAAUAUAAAGUAAUGAGUACUGACCUUGACUUGCUUAAUGAAAGAAACAGCAUUCAACAUUCCACUUCUUGAUAAUCAGACCAAAUUAAAGCGUUAUAAGAAGAGAUUUAGGGAUUUAAAACAUAAUAGGAAGAUAUAAAUCAUAAUUAGAAGAGAUAUAUCUCUGCAUCUACAGUAUUGACACUUCCCUUAUGCAUGAUUUAGAUCUUUAGCAAGCUCAUAUGUAAUCAAUACCAAUCGAAUGUAGUGAUUGCAUGUAAUCAAACCUGAAAACAAAAAGAAAUUCCUCAACAUUUUUAUAUCCCCUUCUUAAUUACAAUUGAGAACAAAUUUGUGGAAAGACUUAUCAAAAACAUCAUAGAAGAUCAACUCCUAACUUAUCAACAAGAGUGUCACCUAAUCAGCAAUCUCAAAUAAAACAUGUUUAGGGCUUACCUUUACACUCGAUUAUAGGCUUCUAAGCUCUUGUACUGUUGAGAUGAAGACCCAAAAAAAACCGAGAAAACACCAAUGGGGAUAUGGGGCUAUUUCGUGAGAAACUCAUUGAAAAAUGUUCUGAUAGGAGAAGGAAGGAGCCUAAUGGCAUCGAUCCUAGAAUUCUUAAUUCCAUCUCAACUCGAUUCGUGAUCUGACUUGGCACAUUAUCCAGAUCGACGGUUUUAUAUUGUUUUCUCCACAAAAUCGUCAGUACCUUGAUUAUGAAGAGAAGUUGUUCAUACUAUUUUCAACCAGCCAAUAGAGGAUGAACAAGGGUUAGGGGAAACACGAUCGACGAUAUGGGCUAAGGCGCGAUGUGGAGGAGCCAGGGUGGAGGGACGGAUAGGUAACGAUGACCCCAUGAGAGAAAAACGAAAUAACGAACCCUAGUGGUUUAGAUUAUGUUGGGGGUAAUGGGAAUUUGGAAACCUGAGCGGGAUGUGAGUUGAUUUUCAAUAUUCAGGAUUGACAUCUUCGAUUGUCGAUAGCAGACGUUUAGAUCGAUGGUGCAAUGGAGAACGCGAACAUUGAAGAUAAUAGAUAUUAGGUUUAAAGAGGAGGGAAUUACUAAAUCUAAAAAAUUUCACGUAGAGGGAAUCUGAAACUUUU
rnacentral:lncRNA from 1 species